rnacentral:pre_miRNA from 1 species
AAUAAAUCAAUUUUUUACUUUUUACCUUCAAUUUUUUGACUCUUCGCCUUAUUCAAAAUUUUUUUGCGAUUGAUAUUUUUGUUUUUAUUAGAUAAUUAAUCAUGAAUAGUACUUUACAUGUGACUAAUUUUUUUUAAUUUUUUAAAAUUUUUUUAAAUAAGACGGAUGGUUAAACGUUGGACAUGGAAACUGGAGAAUUCGUUUUUU